GACGAACGCUGGCGGCGUGCCUAAUACAUGCAAGUAGAACGCACAGUUUAUACCGUAGCUUGCUACACCAUAGACUGUGAGUUGCGAACGGGUGAGUAACGCGUAGGUAACCUGCCUGGUAGCGGGGGAUAACUAUUGGAAACGAUAGCUAAUACCGCAUAAUAUUAAUUAUUGCAUGAUAAUUAAUUGAAAGGUGCAAUUGCACCACUACCAGAUGGACCUGCGUUGUAUUAGCUAGUAGGUGAGGUAACGGCUCACCUAGGUGACGAUACAUAGCCGACCUGAGAGGGUGAUCGGCCACACUGGGACUGAGACACGGCCCAGACUCCUACGGGAGGCAGCAGUAGGGAAUCUUCGGCAAUGGACGAAAGUCUGACCGAGCAACGCCGCGUGAGUGAAGAAGGGUUUCGGAUCGUAAAGCUCUGUUGUAAGAGAAGAACGGGUGUGAGAGUGGAAAGUUCACACUGUGACGGUAUCUUACCAGAAAGGGACGGCUAACUACGUG
rnacentral:rRNA from 1 species